ACGGAGGGGGCAAGCGUUGUUCGGAAUUAUUGGGCGUAAAGGGCGCGUAGGCGGAUUGGUAAGUCUGGCGUGAAAUCUCCACCACUUAACGGGGAGAGGUCGCUGGAAACUGCCGAUCUGGAGUUCGGUAGAGGAUCAUGGAAUUCCAGGUGUAGCGGUGGAAUGCGUAGAUAUCUGGAAGAACACCGGUGGCGAAGGCGGUGAUCUGGGCCGAAACUGACGCUGAGGCGCGAAAGCUAGGGGAGCAAACGG
rnacentral:rRNA from 1 species